UACAGGGGGUGCAAACGUUGCUCGGAAUCAUUGGGCGUAAAGCGCACGUAGGCGGUUCGUUAUGUCGGAUGUGAAAGCCCUUGGCUUAACCGAGGAAGUGCAUCCGAAACUGGCGAGCUAGAGUACGAAAGAGGAUCGCGGAAUUCCCGGUGUAGAGGUGAAAUUCGUAGACAUCGGGAGGAACACCGGUGGCGAAGGCGGCGAUCUGGGUCGAUACUGACGCUGAGGUGCGAAAGCGUGGGGAGCAAACAGG
rnacentral:rRNA from 1 species